GACAGAGGGUGCAAACGUUGUUCGGAAUUACUGGGCGUAAAGCGUGUGUAGGCGGUCAAGUAAGUCGGAUGUGAAAGCCCCGGGCUCAACCCGGGAAGUGCACUCGAAACUGCAUGACUUGAGUAUCGGAGAGGUUGGUGGAAUUCUCGGUGUAGAGGUGAAAUUCGUAGAUAUCGAGAGGAACACCGGUGGCGAAGGCGGCCAACUGGACGAAUACUGACGCUGAGACACGAAAGCGUGGGGAGCAAACAGG
rnacentral:rRNA from 1 species